rnacentral:rRNA from 1 species
CCUGGCGGCACCAGCGCGGUGGUCCCAACUGACCCCAUGCCGAACUCAGAAGUGAAACGCCGUAGCGCCGAUGGUAGUGUGGGGUC